rnacentral:rRNA from 1 species
GCUUACGGCCAUACCACGUUGAAAACACGCCAUCCCGUCCGAUCUGGCAAGUUAAGCAACGUUGGGCCUGGUUAGUACUUGGAUUGGAGACUGAGUGAGAUACGUGGAAUCUAACUU